GUGCGUAACGCGUAUGCAACCUACCUUUCACAGGGGGAUAGCCCGAAGAAAUUUGGAUUAAUACCCCAUAAUAUURUUGGAUGGCAUCAUCUGAUAAUUAAAAUUACGAUGGUGGAAGAUGGGCAUGCGUCCUAUUAGCUAGUUGGAGUGGUAACGGCACCCCAAGGCUACGAUAGGUAGGGGUCCUGAGAGGGAGAUCCCCCACACUGGUACUGAGACAGGGACCAGACUCCUACGGGAGGCAGCAGUGAGGAAUAUUGGUCAAUGGUCGGAAGACUGAACCAGCCAUGCCGCGUGCAGGAAGAAUGCCUUAUGGGUUGUAAACUGCU
rnacentral:rRNA from 1 species